GACGAACGCUGGCGGCGUGCUUAACACAUGCAAGUCGAACGGAAAGGCCCUGCUUUUGUGGGGUGCUCGUGUGGCGAACGGGUGAGUAACACGGGAGUGACCUGCCCUUGACUUUGUGAUAACGUCAGGAACCUGGGGCUAAUACCGGCGAGGAGCGCCUGCUGCAUGGUGGGGGUUGGAAAUUUUCGGCGGUUGGGGAUGGAUUCGCGGCUUAUCAGCUUGUUGGUGGGGUAGUGGCUUACGAAGGCUUUGACGGGUCGCCGGCAUGAGAGGGUGACCGGCCACAUUGGGACUGAGAUACGGCCCAGACUCCUACGGGAGGCAGCAGUGGGGAAUAUUGCACAAUGGGCGGAAGCCUGAUGCAGAAACGCCGCGUGCGGGAUGACGGCCUUCGGGUUGUAAACCGCUUUCGCCUGUGACGAAGCGUGAGUGACGGUAAUGGGUAAAGAAGCACCGGCUAACUACGUG
rnacentral:rRNA from 1 species